UGGGGAAUAUUGCGCAAUGUGCGAAAGCAUGACCGAGCGACGCCGCGUGUGCGACGAAGGCCUUCGGGUUGUAAAGCACUGUCGAGGGGGAGGAAAGCCGAAAGGUCUGACCUAUCCCUGGAGGAAGCACGGGCUAAGUUCGUGCCAGCAGCCGCGGUAAGACGAACCGUGCGAACGUUGUUCGGAAUCACUGGGCAUAAAGGGCGCGUAGGCGGGCCGAUAAGUCAGGGGUGAAAUCCUCCAGCUUAACUGGAGAACUGCCUUUGAUACUGACGGCCUCGAGUAAGGUAGGGGCAUGCGGAACUGAUGGUGGAGCGGUGAAAUGUGUUGAUAUCAUCAGGAACUCCGGUGGCGAAAGCGGCAUGCUGGACCUUUACUGACGCUGAGGCGCGAAAGCUAGGGGAGCAAACGGGAUUAGAUACCCCUGUAGUCCCUGAGCGGGCUGGCAAGGCGCAU
rnacentral:rRNA from 1 species